CAAUAGCGUAUAUUUAAGUUGCUGCAGUUAAAAAGCUCGUAGUUGGAUUUCGGGUGGGAAUGGCCGGUCCGCCGUUUCGGUGUGCACUUGCUACGCCCACCUUGCUGCCGGGGACGUGCUCUUGAGUUCACGCUCGGGACACGGAGUCGGCGAGGUUACUUUGAGUAAAUUAGAGUGUUCAAAGCAGGCCUACGCUCUGAAUACAUUAGCAUGGAAUAACACAAUAGGACUCUGGCCUAUCUUGUUGGUCUGUAGGACCGGAGUAAUGAUUAAGAGGGACAGUCGGGGGCAUUCGUAUUUCAUUGUCAGAGGUGAAAUUCUUGGAUUUAUGAAAGACGAACUACUGCGAAAGCAUUCGCCAAGGAUGUUUUCAUUAA
rnacentral:rRNA from 1 species